rnacentral:rRNA from 1 species
GUCCGGGAUCUCGGUCUCGAGGCACGCGGUCGUCGCUCUGCGUCCGGAGGCGUCGGCGUGCACUUCUCCCCUAGUAGAACGUCGCGACYCGUUGGGUGCCGGUCUUACGGCCCGAGUGGAUGCCUGCCGCAUCGUUUUUACGCGCGUGCGGCAGACCCUCGGUCGCCAAAGAAUCGGCUGCCCGGCGGUACACUCACGGUAUCGGGCCGCAAACAAUUCGAACUGCGUCGGGCCCGCCUCGUCCGCCGGUCAGUUUCUCGGUGGUACGGACCUAGCGCCGUCCCCGGUUCUGGCUAGCUCGCGUCGAGCGGUGUCCUCCGACUGGCCGUAAACCACAUAGUCGAUACCGGUCGGCGACGCUACUGCUUUGGGUAAUCUCAGGACCCGUCUUGAAACACGGACCAAGGAGUCUAACAUGUGCGCGAGUCAUUGGGCGCAGCAUGCCURAAGGCGAAAUGAAAGUGAAGGUCGGCCCUCGCGCCGAAUGAGGGAGGAUGGGCCGCGCGAGCACGCGGCUUCGCACUCCCAGGGCGUCUCGUUCUCAUCCGAGAAGAGGCGCACCUAGAGCGUACACGUUGGGACCCGAAAGAUG